rnacentral:lncRNA from 1 species
CUGGUAAUAAUAAAGUGAAGAUUUGAGGAGGAGAUGUCAACAAGAUGUGGCAGCUAAUAAGAUGGAAUGAUGGAUGUAGAUGGAGAAAGAAACCUUGCUUCUUCAUUCAUGCCUGGCAAUGUGCCAAUAAACUACUAGUGGUGAUUUCUGAUUGGUCAGUGGCUGGAUGGGUCUGUUAUUUUGGGACUUGUGUAAAAUUUGAAAAAAGAGUGGGAGAAAAAACCAACUCGAUGAUGAAGAGUGUGGUGUGUCAAGGCCUCUUCUUCUUUCGUUUGCGACCUAUGAAGAGGAAAAAAUGUAGGUGCGACGGAAAUGCUGGCG